rnacentral:lncRNA from 1 species
AAAAAGCUCGCACACACACAUAAAAUCUUUAAAAAAUACACUUUAAAAAAAACACCACAAACAAACACAACUUUAUUUGAAAAGACCUGUAGUGGCCCACAAGCUGCAGUGUAGGGGCCCCGGCCUGGUGACAUGGAAGUCCAUCCCAUGACAAUCCGGCCCUGGGAAUGUGCCCAUUCACUACUGAUGCUAUGUGCACCCAGCAGGCACCGGCUUUGAGGGAACAGCGGAAAGUGGAUGUGGUGGUAAUAGAGAUUUUCAGCUGAGACCAGAUGCUGAACCGCAAACUUAAGGCUGCAUGCUCUAAGUUCUGCCGUGGCAAGUCACGCAAGCCCACAGCCGGUGACUCAGACCCCUGUCACCUAAGAGUAAAGCUGCUGCUGUGGCUCAGUGUGGCCAGAGGCCCUGGGGCCUCACUGGUCCUGGAGCUGGGAGGGAAGGUGGAAACUCCUUUGGCCUGGCUGGAGCCGACCACAGGCGUUCCCUUCCCCCCAAGCACUUGCCUGGGGCUCAAAGCUGGGAGGAGGUGAUGGCUUCUCGGGAAUGGAGGCUUGAGUCACAGCCCUGAAGAGGCCACUGCAGCUUUGCAGGAAAAGACUUCUCUGCAAGGACACCAGCUCAGCACCCUGCUGCUCAGCCUGAGUGGCAUCACCCUUGCUCACUUUCAUGAUAACUGUUUAAAAAUAGUUUAUAUUGUCCUCAUUCUAGCUCAAGAGCUCAGGGACUCUGACAAGAUGAAGAGUGGAGAUGGGUUGGGCUUGGUGGUACAUACCUUUAAUUCCAGCACUGGGAGGCCGGUGUAUCUCUGAGUUCAAGACCAGCCUGGUCUACACAGUGACUUCCAGGUCAGCCAGAACCACAUGGAGACUCAGUCUCAAACAAACACACAACUUUCCACUAGGCCAGUGAGAAAGUUAAGUGGCGGAGGCACUUGCUGUCAGGCCUAAGGCCUUGAAUUCAACCCUCAGGACUCAAUGGCAGGAAAGAAUCAGGUGAAUCAGUUCAGGGUUCGGGUCCUCCCUCCACUUCAGCACCCUCCUCCGCCUCCACCCACUCCCGCCCCGGGAGUCCUCCCUUCCGGAAGACCGUCCGGGGUGGACGCCGCCUCGCCGACUCACCUGCUAUAAUAGCGCGGGAGCCACCGGGCGCA